rnacentral:rRNA from 1 species
AGAGUUUGAUCCUGGCUCAGGAUGAACGCUGGCGGCGUGCCUAAUACAUGCAAGUCGAGCGAACUGAUUAGAAGCUUGCUUCUAUGACGUUAGCGGCGGACGGGUGAGUAACACGUGGGCAACCUGCCUGUAAGACUGGGAUAACUUCGGGAAACCGAAGCUAAUACCGGAUAGGAUCUUCUCCUUCAUGGGAAAUGAUUGAAAGAUGGUUUCGGCUAUCACUUACAGAUGGGCCCGCGGUGCAUUAGCUAGUUGGUGAGGUAACGGCUCACCAAGGCAACGAUGCAUAGCCGACCUGAGAGGGUGAUCGGCCACACUGGGACUGAGACACGGCCCAGACUCCUACGGGAGGCAGCAGUAGGGAAUCUUCCGCAAUGGACGAAAGUCUGACGGAGCAACGCCGCGUGAGUGAUGAAGGCUUUCGGGUCGUAAAACUCUGUUGUUAGGGAAGAACAAGUACGAGAGUAACUGCUCGUACCUUGACGGUACCUAACCAGAAAGCCACGGCUAACUACGUGCCAGCAGCCGCGGUAAUACGUAGGUGGCAAGCGUUAUCCGGAAUUAUUGGGCGUAAAGCGCGCGCAGGCGGUUUCUUAAGUCUGAUGUGAAAGCCCACGGCUCA